rnacentral:rRNA from 1 species
AUACGGAGGGUGCAAGCGUUAAUCGGAAUUACUGGGCGUAAAGAGUACGUAGGUGGUUCGUUAAGUCAGAUGUGAAAGCCCCGGGCUCAACCUGGGAACUGCAUUUGAAACUGGCAAACUAGAGUAUGGUAGAGGCGGGUAGAAUUCAUAGUGUAGCGGUGAAAUGCGUAGAUAUUAUGAGGAAUACCAGUGGCGAAGGCGGCCCGCUGGACCAAUACUGACACUGAGGUACGAAAGCGUGGGGAGCGAACAGGAUUAGAAACCCCGGUAGUCC